UCUCAGCUGAUCGGCGGGUGGGCGGGGCUUCCACGGUGGUCUGGUGUAGGCCUCUGUGAAGCCUGAACUCCAGUAGGGCCCAAGCCAGCCAGGAAGGAGGAGGCAGCCAGAGUGGCCACCACUGCUCUCUGCAGCAGAAGACCCCCUGCUGCCAGUAAACUUAUGAGAUCACCCGGCAUUCCAUGUGGCUGUGUGUGUGUCCCCCGCCCACCUCAACUUCACAACGCCUGGACCAAUAUGAACCAAAUAUGAACCAAAUCAGCACACAAAGGGAUCAAGACAGCUUAAGGAUUUGACAGCUCCACACAAUAUAUAGAAGAGGUUAAUGCUACCUCUUGCCUGAACAGAUGCAGCUCCACAGCAGGCUGUUCCCUGAGCAGGCCUUGCCAUGAAGCUCAGCCAGCAGUAAAAUGGAGCUGAUCUCAGAGUCUGUUGGUAUUUCUCAAAGGAGGUUAUAAGAAGAGUGUGAUCUGGCAGUAUGACCUAAUCCUGGACGCCAGAACAUCCUGAGGGAAAAGAAGACUACAGAUUCCUCCCCUCCUCCCCCUUUUUAUGUAUCCCUUAAAGAUAUAUAUUGGAUGGAUGCUUAGCAUAGACUUCAUUUGGAAAACUUGGCUUUGUAAAGUUUGGACCGUUGAAAAUGUCAUGCUAAAUUCAUAAAAAUAUCUUCCAAAGCCAUUGCAACAUCCACCUGCUAAACAGUUCAGUGUUUCUCUUUCACUUGCCUGUAGAACUGCCAGAUUCCUAUAGACUCUGACAACAGUAUCUGAGCAGUAGAUUUUCACAACUAGGUCCAGUCAGGGGAAGGAUCAAGAGUGGUGUAAAUUCCUGCCCAUCUCCGUAUGUGUGUUUCCAUGCAUAGAUAAUGUGGGAUUGACGACAUGGCCCACUCCACCGUUGUCCUUUAUGUAUUGUGCACUGUGAAAUGAGGUAUUCAGUGAUGGAGUUGGUAUGUAUGAAGGAUUGCUGUUUUUUCCAUGUAUUGUUUGUUUAAAAAUGUGCAUCUGAGUAUUUUAAUUGUAAUUUUUGUUCUAAUUGUGAUGGCUUUCAGCUAUAAACAAUAAAUUACUUCUCUACUCUGCUCCAUAAA